AAGUAAAGAAGUAAAAAAUUACAUUUAGUUUCGACCUAAAAGUAGAGUAUUAAACUCCAUGCUUU
rnacentral:tRNA from 1 species